GAUGAAGAACGCAGCGAAAUGCGAUACGUAAUGUGAAUUGCAGAAUUCAGUGAAUCAUCGAAUCUUUGAACGCAUAUUGCGCUCUCUGGUAUUCCGGAGAGCAUGCUUGUUUGAGUAUCAGUAAACACCUCAACUUCCAUAUCUUUUUUUGAAAUGGGAGUUGGACUUGAGUGAUCCCAACGCUUUUCCUCACCGAAAAGUGGCGGGUUACUUGAAAUGCAGGUGCAGCUGGACUUUUCUCUGAGCUAUAAGCAUAUCUAUUUAGUCUGCCUAAAAAACAGAUUAUUACCUUUGCUGCAGCUAACAUAAAGGAGAUUAGUUCUUGUGCUGACUGAUGCAGGAUUCACAAAGACAGCUUCGGCCGACUUUGUAAACUCGAUCUCAAAUCAAGUAAGACUACCCGCUGAACUUAAGCAUAUCAAUAAGCGGAGGA
rnacentral:misc_RNA from 1 species